UAUAGCAAUAGCUACUUGCAUCAUUGUAAGAUGAUGCAAGAUCGACUAUGUCGAAUAAAAUUCUAGGUAGAAUUAUGAUAAUGACAUUGUCUGCCUAUGUGUCUUGACCAAAUUACGUGCCAGCAGUCGCGGUAAUACGUAGAAGACUAGUGUUAUUCAUGUUUAAUCGGUUUAAAGGGUACCUAGACGGUAAAUCAAGCUUUCAAAGAAAUAGAGUUAAAGGACUAAUUUACUAGAGUUACUUAUGAGGGGGUAUUAAAGUACUGCUGGUGUAGAGAUGAAAUUCUGUCAUACCUCUUUUCAAAAGAAAAAUGAUGGCACAGGUAUAGGCGAAGGCAUCCCCUUAUGUGAUAACUGACGUUGAGGGACGAAGGCUUUGUGUAGCGAACAGGAUUAGAUACCCCAGUAGUCGAAGCAGAAAAUGAUGAAUGUCAUAGAUUAGAGGUAAGUUUAUUCUAUAAAUGAAAGUGUAAGCAUUCCACCUCAUGAGUAAUUUGGCAACAUUGGAACUGAAAUCAUUAGACCGUUUCUGAAACCAGUAGUGAAGUAUGUUGUUUAAUUUGAUGAUCCGCAAAAAACCUUACCACAAUUUGAAUAUUUAUAUUUUUUUUAUUGUUUUUUUGUUAAUUUUCUUCUAAGAACAAAGUUAAUAAUGAGGCAAUAAGGUAUAUUUACAAGCGUUGCACGGCUGUCUUCAGUUAAUGUCGCGAGACUUUGGUUAGUUCCAUUAAAUUAACGUAAACCCUUACUUUAUUUUUAUAUAGAGUAGUUCCCCGCUAUAUUGGAUAUGAU
rnacentral:rRNA from 1 species